rnacentral:rRNA from 1 species
GGGAAAAUGGAGGGGUUUGAGAGGGAUUGGCAGGGUUUACAUCCUCUACAAGUCAAAACCUCCUCCAAUCCACCCCAAUCCCCCUGUGAGGAGGUGUAACCGAACAAAGCCUCACGGAGUCCCGGUCCACCCCUCCCACACGCCGCACCCAAUCCCCUCCUCCCGCACGCCUCGCACCCAAUCGCCUCCUCCUGCAUGAACCCUAGCCCCCAAUGGAUGGGACGCCACACCCUCACUCCUCCCCAGCAGCCUCCACCCCCCUUCCUCCGCCCUCCCACCUUCGUGGGAUCCAAGGCAUGCGGCCACGGAGGCGAGCCUCUCCGGCGACGGCAGCAACCUAUAGGCAGAGAAGAUUGGAGAGAGGGAGAGAAGGAAUGAGAGGAGGGAGGUCCGGCGGCGGACAUGAGAGGGUCACUGGCCUGCACCGGUGAGAUCAGGUGUGACCUCGCAGACCUGGCAGUCGGUGGCGGCUCGAUCCACUCCUGGAUCCUUCUUCCACUUCCCCACUGCCUACCACCAAGCACGGGUCAGUGAGCAUGGGAUCGACGACGGUGGCCGGAAGCCAGGAUGGUUGGCUGAGGAAGAGGGCGAGGACUUGAGGAUUGAAGAGGGUUCCUAUGCAGUCUGUUCUUUGCAAGGGUAAAGCAUCAUCAGCACUGGUGGUUGUUGGAUCAGUAGAUGAUUCCUAGCAUAUGUCUUCUUAACCAGGGUCGAAGUGUUAGUGGAGAUCAAAGUUCCAAGGAGGAUGCUCACGAGAUGGUUGGGCUUCCUUCAAUACCAGUGCUAACUAGGAGCUGACAUGCGGUGCAAAUUUUCUCUGGGUAUGCUUGUUCGUCCCCGCCAAAACCGGGCAAGGAACUGAGAGCUUGCACAUGCCAAUUUCUUAUAUUGUUUUCUCAUGACCGGUUAUAGUUGCUAUAAAUUCAUGAUUACCUUUGUGGUUGCUUGCUAGUUUGCAGGAUAGGUGAGGCGAUGAUCCAAAAAAUUGGUAAGAAUGGUGCUCCCACGUUCUCUCUUAUCCAGGAAAAUCAAUACAGCAAAAUGUGUGUUUAAUAAACCUUGCAUUGUUGCAAAAAUUCAUAUUAUGUUUGUGAAUCUAAUGCAAUGGUGGAUAUCAUGAAGAAGAGGGACAUGUUUGUUGCAUUUGAAGGUGUACUUAUGAGUGCAAGGGAGCCUCGAGGAUUUGGGUUUGUCCAGUACUUCAAUCCUGAUGAUGCUGCAGAUGGAAAAUACUACAUGGACGGACAGGUUAUUCAUGGCAAACAAGUAGCAGUUUUAUUUGCAUAAUAGAACAAAAAGAAGCCCGCUAAGGGGUGUCCCGCGACAGAUGCACGCCUAAUGACGUUGUGGAGCUGUCAACUCCGACCCAGAUUGCCACAGAGAACAGCAAAGCAUCCUCCCUUCUCCCUUCCGGUUGCAUAUUCGCCUGGUGGAUUACAACAUCUUUACCUGAUAAACAUGGAAUAUACAAGAGGAAGGAGCAACUGCAGCAAGCAGUGAUGCUUUAGGCACUGAUGUGAGGAUUACUGCAUUUGAGAGCAGAGGAAGAGAAUCGUAAAACUGUCAUGUUCGCUUCCGCCAUUCAUGCCGAGCGGGAUGUGUGGUAGAGAGGAUUUCUUUUUCGCAAAAAUCGGAAGAGAGGCUAUUGAAGCCACCUUUGCCAACAUAGAUGAAGAUGAGAGGAUUGGCCAACUUUGGACUCCAACAGCAGCGAUGAUGAUGAAGACUUGAACUAUGACUAUGAGUCUGAGUAGUAGAAGAAUCAUUUAUGUUUUUGUGCAUCGUUGACGGGGAUUGAAUUUGUUACAUAGAUUUGUUUCAAAUAUAACUCCAUGCUACCAAAUUUUAAUGUGUAUAUACAUUUCAUUGUAGACAACAAACCCCUGUUUUUCUAGAAGAUUAAAUUUGUUGUCAUAUGUGCUUUCAUGUAACUAAGCAACUAAACCAUGGAUUACUUUUCAUCGCUAACAUGGAAUCAGC